rnacentral:misc_RNA from 1 species
GCCUUCCUGCUCUUCCACGGAGCUAUUUUUUAGGGAAAAAGAGAGUUCCUUAUACUUAUAACCAUGCUUUGAAAUGGUAGGAAUAAAAUAGAAAAGAAACAUAUAUAUUAUCCAUAACAAAGAAGUUGUUUCUAGAUUACUGAGAUCAAUUUUAUUGACAAAAUAAUAUUAGUAAGACCACCAAAUGCAACCAAAAUAGAUUAAUGUUUUAGUUUUUGCUAACAAAGAUGAAAUUGUUGAUUCAUGACCAAGGGGCAGCAUAUUUUAAAAAAUAUAUACAGCAUUAAGACAUAUAGCAAAGUCAACAUUGCUAUCAUGGAACUACAUUUCAUGCAUUAUUGGCCUCAUUUUGAGCAAUAUUCUCCCAGAAGCCAGAAAGGUGCCUCCAAUAUGCUAAUAGGAUUAUGCCUUAAAUUUGUAUAGCAGUGCUUGAUUUUACUGAAACUGUCAUACUUGAAGACUCACCUGGUUAUCUAUUCUCCGAGACUCAUGUAAAGAUGUGCUAAUGACGUGGAGCCCCCCAAGCCU